rnacentral:rRNA from 1 species
GGUUGAUCCUGCCAGUAGUCAUAUGCUUGUCCUAAAGAUUAAGCCAUGCAUGUCCAAGUAUAUACCUUUAUACGGUGAAACUGCGAAUGGCUCAUUAUAUCAGUUAUAAUUUACAUGAUGGAUUAUUUACUACUUGGAUAACCGUGGUAAUUCUAGAGCUAAUACAUGCGAAAAGCCCGACUGCAAGGAAGGGCGGUAUUUAUUAGAUAAAAACCGAAUGCGACAUUGUCUGUCGCAAGCUGGCGAGUCAUGAUAACUGAGCGGAUCGUAUGGCCUCGGGCCGACGACGCAU